AGCUCGCGGCCGGGACCGAUGUGUCGUGGCUGCUGGCUACGGAGCCGAGGUUCGGCUCUCCGGCGCGCUG
rnacentral:tRNA from 1 species